AUGAACGUUGGCGGCGUGGAUUAGGCAUGCAAGUCGAGCGAGAACCCAGCAAUGGGGGACAGCGGCGCAAGGGACAGUAAUGUGUAGAUCAUCUGCCCUCAGGCCCGGGAUAGCUGCGGGAAACUGCAGGUAAUACCGGAUAACAUCUCCGGAUCAAAGGUGUGAUUCCGCCUGAGGAUGAGUCUACAUCCUAUUAGCUAGUUGGCAGGGUAACGGCCUACCAAGGCGAUGAUGGGUAGCGGGUGUGAGAGCACGACCCGCGUCAUUGGGACUGAGACACUGCCCAGACACCUACGGGUGGCUGCAGUCGAGAAUCUUCGGCAAUGGGCGCAAGCCUGACCGAGCGACGCCGCGUGCGGGAUGAAGGCCUUCGGGUUGUAAACCGCUUUUGUGAGGGAAGAAGAUCUGACGGUACCUCACGAAUAAGUCACGGCUAACUACGU
rnacentral:rRNA from 1 species